AUUGAACGCUGGCGGCAGGCCUAACACAUGCAAGUCGAGCGGAGGAAGGGAGCUUGCUCCUGGAUUCAGCGGCGGACGGGUGAGUAAUGCCUAGGAAUCUGCCUGGUAGUGGGGGAUAACGUCCGGAAACGGGCGCUAAUACCGCAUACGUCCUGAGGGAGAAAGUGGGGGAUCUUCGGACCUCACGCUAUCAGAUGAGCCUAGGUCGGAUUAGCUAGUUGGUGGGGUAAAGGCCUACCAAGGCGACGAUCCGUAACUGGUCUGAGAGGAUGAUCAGUCACACUGGAACUGAGACACGGUCCAGACUCCUACGGGAGGCAGCAGUGGGGAAUAUUGGACAAUGGGCGAAAGCCUGAUCCAGCCAUGCCGCGUGUGUGAAGAAGGUCUUCGGAUUGUAAGGCACUUUAAGUUGGGAGGAAGGGCAGUAAGUUAAUACCUUGCUGUUUUGACGUUACCAACAGAAUAAGCACCGGCUAACUUCGUG
rnacentral:rRNA from 1 species